ACAUUAUUUGGACAGAUCUAUCGCCUCCAGAAUUUUUUCAUGUGUUGAAGUGGUUAUAUAUAUCAGGAUGUAAUUUGGAUAAUUUAGCUUGGGUCCUGCAUCUCCCAUGUCUUGUACAUUUAGAAAUAGAAGAUUGUGCAGAGAUAGAAACGUUGUUUUACAUCGAGGAGGAGAGAGAAAUCCAACAACAACAAGUCUCAGAACACCGCCCAACAUUCCCUGCAUUGACAUCACUGAAGAUAACCAAGCUACCAAAAUUAGUGAGAAUAAGCAAUUUUGCAUUGGAUUUCCCUCAACUUUUAUGGCUGACAGUGAGUCGAUGUCCUACUCUUAAGAAGUUUCCAUUCAAGAGUGGCAUUAACAACAAUCAAAGAAUGAUACACAUUAAUUGUGAGAGAGAAUGGUGGGAAAGCUUAGAUUGGGAUGAUGCCACCAUCUCAUCUCACUUUUAUACACAUUUCCACCAGGAUGAGAACCCUAAUGAAUGCUCGACUAGUGGAAGUAAAUGAAAGGUCUUUGAGUUUUCUAUGUUUCUGUCUGCACAAGUUAGAGAUCAUCUCAUGCUCAAACCAAGUCUUUAAUUUCCUGGGUUUUACAUCUCCAAAAGCUUCUCAGAACUACAACUUCUCUUCUCAAUUAAUCAGUGAUCUACCAAAGUUACAGUGCCAUUAUGCUCUGAAUUGCUCGUGUUGUUUCUGGUUUUCUUCUCAAAUUUGAACUCUUUGAUUGGUUUUUUAUUUAUGCCGGUGUGAAGACAUUAUUAUUUGGUUUCCAAGUUUGAGGUUUGUUUACCAUUAUUUUCUUUUGUAAUUUUUAAGUGAAGUCUAGCUUGAAAGUUGAUCGAUUGAAGACAUUAAUCGUUGGGUUGUAUCUUUCAUUCAAACUAUAUUUUCAAGUAAGUUGUGCUUUGUUAGCAUGGUGGAAGCAUAUAUAUAUAUACACAUAUAUAUAUCUGUAAAAUAUUGUUUAUUUGUUAUUUUCACUUGCAUAUUGCUAAGGAUUAAUUGUGGACUUUGUCAAACUUUGAAAGCCUUAGUUUUGUUAAUGUACAGAAUGGUCUAAAUGAGGGGCUUUCAGACCUAACUUUGUUUUUGGUGUUACUAUUGUGAUUUUUUUUUUUUGUAUUUUCUCUCUCUUCUUCUUUUGGCAGGUUAAAGAGCAAAACAAAGGCAAAAGGUGUUAAUUGAUAAAUAUGUUGCUACAGUUGGUAAAGCUAUUUAUGGAAAAGGAGGCUUUGGUACUUCAAAAAAGAGUUUUCAUUGAGAUCAAGAUGUGUGGAGAUUCUUUAUCUUUUCGGUAGUAAUAGCAAGAUUCUAUUCAUCAAGCCAAGGCAAACUUGUUCGAGAAUCAAAAGUUUAAUACCAGAAUACUAAAGAAGCAUUGGGUCUUUUGUUACAACAGUUUAUGAUAAGGUGUGGGCAAAUGUGUUGUUAGCUUGCUAGUGGGAAUGAAGUGCAUGGAGCUUCCUUGAGUAUAGCAAGUAUUCAACAACUUGAGGAAAAUGAGAACCAGAUCAUCAAUCUCUUUGAAGAUCCAACAACCUGAUGAUCAAUCAAAGCUUUGAUUUCGCAAUGCUACUGAAGAGCAUUAACAAAUUCUCAAGUUGAAUCCAGAUUAGGGAACAAGAGAAGAUAAGUUUAGCAAGGCAUAAUUUUGAUCAAGCGAACAAUUCGACGAAGCAAAAUUUGGAUAGCUGAAAAAUUAUGUCAUGCUCAUCAAUAUUUAUUAUAUGAUUGAAUUGCUCAUCACACAUUGAGCAGUUUUUCUCAAACAGAAUUCAUCACUUGUCCAAUCAUUAAAAACUGAUGUAUCCUUGUUGUCAAAUGUCACCUCCAUUAUCCAAAUCUUUAUUUAAC